GACGAACGCUGGCGGCGUGCUUAACACAUGCAAGUCGAACGGGUCUGCCCUGUUUUUUGCGGGGUGGGUCAGUGGCGAACGGGUGAGUAACACGUGAGUAACCUGCCCCUCACUUCUGGAUAACCGCUUGAAAGGGUGGCUAAUACGGGGUGUUCUGGCUGUGCCGCAUGGUGUGGCUGGGAAAGAUUCACUUUUGUGGUGUUUUGGUGGGGGAUGGGCUCGCGGCCUAUCAGCUUGUUGGUGGGGUGAUGGCCUGCCAAGGCUUUGACGGGUAGCCGGCCUGAGAGGGUGGGCGGUCACACUGGGACUGAGAUACGGCCCAGACUCCUGCGGGAGGCAGCAGGGGGGGGUAUUGCACAAUGGGCGGAAGCCUGAUGCAGCGACGUCGCGUGAGGGAUGGAGGCCUGCGGGUUGUGAACCUCUUUCGCCGGUGAAGAAGGUCCUGCUCUUUGGGGUGGGGUUGACGGUAGCCGGGUUAUGAAGCGCCGGCUAACUACGUG
rnacentral:rRNA from 1 species